AGCAGCCGCGGUAAUUCCAGCUCCAGUAGCGUAUAUUAAAGUUGUUGCAGUUAAAAAGCUCGUAGUUGAAUUUCGGGGUUAGUAGGUUGGUCAUGCCUCUGGUAUGUACUGAUCUCACUGAUUCCUCCUUCCUGAUGAACCGUAAUGCCAUUAAUUUAGUGUUGCGGGGAAUUUGGACUGUUACUUUGAAAAAUUAGAGUGUUUAAAGCAAGCUAACGCUUGAAUACAUUAGCAUGGAAUAAUGAAAUAGGACGUUCGAUCCUAUUUUGUUGGUUUCUAGGAUUGACGUAAUGAUUAAUAGGGAUAGUUGGGGGCAUUAGUAUUCAAUUGUCAGAGGUGAAAUUCUUGGAUUUAUUGAAGACUAACUACUGCGAAAGCAUUUGCCAAGGAUGUUUUCAUUAAUCAAGAACGAAAGUUAGGGGAUCGAAGACGAUCAGAUACCGUCGUAGUCUUAACCAUAAACUAUGCCGACUAGGGAUCGGAUGAUGUUAAUUUUUAAUGACUCAUUCGGCGCCUUACG
rnacentral:rRNA from 1 species